rnacentral:rRNA from 1 species
UACGGAGGGUGCAAGCGUUGCUCGGAAUUACUGGGCGUAAAGCGUGUGUAGGCGGCUUUGUAAGUUGGGUGUGAAAUCCCUAGGCUCAACCUAGGAACUGCGCCCAAAACUGCAAAGCUUGAGUCCCGGAGAGGGUGGUAGAAUUCCCAGUGUAGAGGUGAAAUUCGUAGAUAUUGGGAGGAACACCAGUGGCGAAGGCGGCCACCUGGACGGACACUGACGCUGAGACACGAAAGCGUGGGGAGCAAACAGG